AGCCACGCAAUGAGCACAUAGCGAACUAUUCUUUCGCCUUUUACUAAAGAAUACCGUGUGUGCGUUGCAAACAGUGGCAUACGCCAAUUUUUGGAGGGACUUUCUCCUUUAGGGGAAU
rnacentral:snRNA from 1 species